GACGAACCGUCCGAACGUUAUUCGGAAUCACUGGGCUUAAAGGGUGCGUAGACGGCGCGGAAAGUUGGGUGUGAAACCCCUCGGCUCAACCGAGGAACUGCGCCCAAAACUACCGUGCUCGAGGGAGAUAGAGGUGAGCGGAACUUAGGGUGGAGCGGUGAAAUGCGUUGAUAUCCUAAGGAACACCGGUGGCGAAAGCGGCUCACUGGAUCUCUUCUGACGCUGAGGCACGAAAGCUAGGGUAGCGAACGGG
rnacentral:rRNA from 1 species